AAUAUCCUCGUGCAAGGAGAAUGUUAAAUGUCUGGUGUUGUCUUGGUUACCUCUGUACACAUCACAUUUUAUUAGUCAAAUAUGCCAAAUACAACAGGUUACACUUUACAGUGAAAUGCUUACUUACAAGCCUUUAACCAACAAUGCAGUUUUAAGAAAAAGAAGGGUUAACUAAAAAAAAUAAGAAAAUAAAAGUGACAAAUAAUUAAACAGCAGGAGUAACAUAACAAUAGAGAGGCUAUAUACAGGGGGUACCGGUACAGAGUCAAUGUGGAGGCUAUAUACAGGGGGUACCGGUACAGAGUCAAUGUGGAGGCUAUAUACAGGGGGUACCGGUACAGAGUCAAUGUGGAGGCUAUAUACAGGGGGUACCGGUACCGAGUCAAUGUGGAGGCUAUACACAGGGGGUACCGGUACAGAGUCAAUGUGGAGGCUACAUACAGGGGGUACCGGUACAGAGUCAAUGUGGAGGCUACAUACAGGGGGUACCGGUACAGAGUCAAUGUGGAGGCUAUAUACAGGGGGUACCGGUACAGAGUCAAUGUGGAGGCUACAUACAGGGGGUACCGGUACAGAGUCAAUGUGGAGGCUAUAUACAGGGGGUACCGGUACAGAGUCAAUGUGGAGGCUAUAUACAGGAGGUACCGGUACAGAGUCAAUAUGGAGGCUAUGUACAGAGUCAAUGUGGAGGCUAUAUACAGGAGGUACCGGUACAGAGUCAAUGUGGAGGCUAUAUACAGGGGGUACCGGUACAGAGUCAAUGUGGAGGCUAUAUACAGGGGGUACCGGUACAGAGUCAAUGUGGAGGCUAUAUACAGGGGGUACCGGUACAGAGUCAAUGUGGAGGCUAUAUACAGGGGGUACCGGUACAGAGUCAAUGUGGAGGCUAUAUACAGGGGGUACCGGUACAGAGUCAAUAUGGAGGCUAUAUACAGGGGGUACCGGUACAGUCAAUGUGGAGGCUAUAUACAGGGGGUACCGGUACAGAGUCAAUGUGGAGGCUAUAUACAGGGGGUACCAGUACAGAGUCAAUGUGGAGGGUAUAUACAGGGGGUACCAGUACAGAGUCAAUGUGGAGGCUAUAUACAGGGGGUACCAGUACAGAGUCAAUGUGGAGGAUAUAUACAGGGGGUACCGGUACAGAGUCAAUGUGGAGGCUAUAUACAGGGGGUACCGGUACAGAGUCAAUGUGGAGGAUAUAUACAGGGGGUACCGGUACAGAGUCAAUGUGGAGGAUAUAUACAGGGGGUACCGGUACAGAGUCAAUGUGGAGGAUAUAUACAGGGGGUACCGGUACAGAGUCAAUGUGGAGGCUAUAUACAGGGGGUACCGGUACAGAGUCAAUAUGGAGGAUAUAUACAGGGGGUACUGGUACAGAGUCAAUGUGGAGGAUAUAUACAGGGGCUACCGGUACAGAGUCAAUGUGGAGGCUAUAUACAGGGGGUACCGGUACAGAGUCAAUGUGGAGGCUAUAUACAGGGGGUACCGGUACAGAGUCAAUAUGGAGGCUAUAUACAGGGGGUACCGGUACAGAGUCAAUAUGGAGGCUAUAUACAGGGGGUACCGGUACAGAGUCACUGUGGAGGCUAUAUACAGGGGGUACCGGUACAGAGUCAAUAUGGAGGCUAUAUACAGGGGGUACCGGUACAGAGUCAAUAUGGAGGCUAUAUACAGGGGGUACCGGUACAGAGUCAAUGUGGAGGCUAUAUACAGGGGGUACCGGUACAGAGUCAGUGUGGAGGCUAUAUACAGGGGGUACAGGUACAGAGUCAAUGUGGAGGCUAUAUACAGGGGGUACCGGUACAGAGUCAAUGUGGAGGAUAUAUACAGGGGGUACCGGUACAGAGUCAAUGUGGAGGCUAUAUACAGGGGGUACCGGUACAGAGUCAAUGUGGAGGCUAUAUACAGGGGGUACCGGUACAGAGUCAAUGUGGAGGCUAUAUACAGGGGGUACCGGUACAGAGUCAGUGUGGAGGCUAUAUACAGGGGGUACCGGUACAGAGUCAAUGUGGAGGCUAUAUACAGGGGGUACCGGUACAGAGUCAAUAUGGAGGCUAUAUACAGGGGGUACCGGUACAGAGUCAAUGUGGAGGCUAUAUACAGGGGGUACCGGUACAGAGUCAAUGUGGAGGCUAUAUACAGGGGGUACUGGUAAAGAGUCAAUGUGGAGGCUAUAUACAGGGGGUACCGGUACAGAGUCAAUGUGGAGGCUAUAUACAGGGGGUUACGGUACAGAGUCAAUGUGGAGGCUAUAUACAGGGUGUUACGGUACAGAGUCAAUGUGGAGGCUAUAUACAGGGUGUUACGGUACAGAGUCAAUGUGGAGGCUAUAUACAGGGGGUACCGGCACAGAGUCAAUGUGGAGGCUAUAUACAGGGCUACCGGUACAGAGUCAAUGUGGAGGCUAUAUACAGGGGGUACCGGUACAGAGUCAAUGUGGAGGCUAUAUACAGGGGGUACCGGUACAGAGUCAAUAUGGAGGCUAUAUACAGGGGGUACCGGUACAGAGUCAAUGUGGAGGCUAUAUACAGGGGGUACCGGUACAGAGUCAAUGUGGAGGCUAUAUAUAGGGGGUACCGGUACAGAGUCAAUAUGGAGGCUAUAUACAGGGGGUACCGGUACAGAGUCAAUGUGGAGGCUAUAUACAGGGGGUACCGGUACAGGGGGUACUGGUACAGAGUCAAUGUGGAGGCUAUAUACAGGGUGUACUGGUACAGAGUCAAUGUAGAGACUAUAUACAGCGGGUACUGGUACAGAGUCAAUGUGGAGGCUAUAUACAGGGGGUACCGGUACAGAGUCAAUGUGGAGGCUAUAUACAGGGGGUACCGGUACAGAGUCAAUGUGGAGGCUAUAUACAGGGGGUACCGGUACAGAGUCAGUGUGGAGGCUAUAUACAGGGGGUACCGGUACAAGAGUCAAUGUGGAGGCUAUAUACAGGGGGUACCGGUACAGAGUCAAUAUGGAGGCUAUAUACAGGGGGUACCGGUACAGAGUCAAUGUGGAGGCUAUAUACAGGGGGUACCGGUACAGAGUCAAUGUGGAGGCUAUAUACAGGGGGUACUGGUAAAGAGUCAAUGUGGAGGCUAUAUACAGGGGGUACCGGUACAGAGUCAAUGUGGAGGCUAUAUACAGGGGGUUACGGUACAGAGUCAAUGUGGAGGCUAUAUACAGGGUGUUACGGUACAGAGUCAAUGUGGAGGCUAUAUACAGGGUGUUACGGUACAGAGUCAAUGUGGAGGCUAUAUACAGGGGGUACCGGCACAGAGUCAAUGUGGAGGCUAUAUACAGGGCUACCGGUACAGAGUCAAUGUGGAGGCUAUAUACAGGGGGUACCGGUACAGAGUCAAUGUGGAGGCUAUAUACAGGGGGUACCGGUACAGAGUCAAUAUGGAGGCUAUAUACAGGGGGUACCGGUACAGAGUCAAUGUGGAGGCUAUAUACAGGGGGUACCGGUACAGAGUCAAUGUGGAGGCUAUAUAUAGGGGGUACCGGUACAGAGUCAAUAUGGAGGCUAUAUACAGGGGGUACCGGUACAGAGUCAAUGUGGAGGCUAUAUACAGGGGGUACCGGUACAGGGGGUACUGGUACAGAGUCAAUGUGGAGGCUAUAUACAGGGUGUACUGGUACAGAGUCAAUGUAGAGACUAUAUACAGCGGGUACUGGUACAGAGUCAAUGUGGAGGCUAUAUAC
rnacentral:lncRNA from 1 species